rnacentral:rRNA from 1 species
AGUGAACGCUGGCGGUAGGCCUAACACAUGCAAGUCGAACGGCAGCACAGUAAGAGCUUGCUCUUACGGGUGGCGAGUGGCGGACGGGUGAGGAAUACAUCGGAAUCUACUUUUUCGUGGGGGAUAACGUAGGGAAACUUACGCUAAUACCGCAUACGACCUACGGGUGAAAGCAGUGGAUCUUCGGACCUUGCGCGAUUGAAUGAGCCGAUGUCGGAUUAGCUAGUUGGCGGGGUAAAGGCCCACCAUGGCGACGAUCCGUAGCUGGUCUGAGAGGAUGAUCAGCAACACUGGAACGAAGAAAGGUUCCGAACUCCUAGGGAAGGAAGAGUUGGGAAAUAUUGGACAAGGGGCGAAAGCCGAAUCCAGCCAUACCGCGGGGUGAAGAAGGCCUUCGGGUUGUAAAGCCCCUUUGUUGGGAAAGAAAAGCAGCAGGUUAAUACCCCGCUGUUCUGACGGUACCCAAAGAAUAAGCACCGGCUAACUUCGUG